CUGUUCUCAUGCCGCAUCCCCACAUCUUGAGGCUCCUGCUUCAGGAAUGGCGGGAGUGAGAGCCUUUUCUGAUGAUGUCGAUGAAGGCUCAUCCCUCACCCCAGACACCUCUGGCCAUUUGACUGAAGGCACCCCAGGUACCUUAGGGCAGGCCUCACUAGUGAUCCCAUCAGGGCCUCAUCUGCACGUUGUCCUUGUCCUCAUCUGGUUGGAGCCUCUGGAGCCCCUCGAGGCACAGGCACAUGUGAGGUGGCUUGCAGUCUGGAAGACUUUCUGGGGGUGGUAUUUUCAGGCUGAAUUCCUUUAAAUUCAAUGAGGUUGUUUUUGUGUUUGGAAAUUCCACUGGAAAGUGACUGAUGUUUGUGACCCUUUCUCCUUUUUCAGCUCCUGCUCCAUAUGCAGCAAUACAGGUACUUCCAGCACUGUUAAGCCAGUGCCAGCACCAGGGGAAGAGCGCCCUCAGGGACAGUGCUGGAGCUAGAGGAAGUUCCACAGCCCUCUUGCUGCUGCCCUGGUACAGCCAAGGACCAGCCCAAUGAGGAGCUGCCUGACAUCAUGGCACCUACUGUAGCCACUGGCCUCAGCCCUGGAUCUGAAAGUGUGGCUGGAGCUAGAGGUGGCAGAGAUGGGGUGGCCAACAUGGCCCCAGCCAGCAGCUCCCACACUGCUCCUGGUCCUGGGCACAGUGGGAGUCAUGGAGGUGGAGACCAGGGUGUGCAGCCUGGGCUCUUCUGCCUCGCUGGAGAGAAGCUUCUCUCAUUAAACAGAGCUGUUGCUGUGCUCCUGCAGGACCUGCUUGGGCUACUGCUGCUGGGGUUGUAUAUCUGCCUGCAAAAAGUGCUACAGAGCAGGAAAAGGAGCCUGUGAGGAGGCGUUCCAGCAGCUCCUCCUGCCCCCAGAGGUGGUCUCUUCCUCCAGGCAUGGACGUCUGUCCUCAACUGGGCAUCUGGGCUGUUUGUCCCUGAUGUGCUGCCAAGGAUGGGCUCUUCUUGA
rnacentral:lncRNA from 1 species